rnacentral:lncRNA from 1 species
AUAGAUACACAAUAAUUUGUAUCUCUAUGUUGACUCUCUCUGUGUACUUAUCUGAAUUAACUCUCCUCCGUGAAAUUCACUCUCCACUGUUUCGACAUCUAGUACUAUUCAUCUUCUUGUUGAAAUGUUUUGUUAAAGUUGGUAAUUGAGCUGUUUUUGAACUUUGAAUUUUGAGGUAUGGCUGAGCUUCUAGGGUUUGGUGAUCUGUUGAUUAUUUGUUGGAUUAUGUGCUAUAACUAUGUGGUGCUGCUUCCUUGAUUGAAUUGCUGAAAGUUAAUUGAAGUUGACUUUGUUGUCUUCUGGGUUUACGUUGAAUUAUUUUGGGGUUUUUGGUUUUCUUUUGUCGUGAAUUCUUUAGAGUUUGUAUGGAUAAGAACUUCAUUACUGGUAAUUUUUCAUUUUUUACAAUUUAUGAAUGCAAUUUUGAUUUUUAAUUACCUUCUGAAUAUAUUGUGGAAAUAUAGAGUAUUUCUAUGUGAGACUAUACUGAGUAGUUGUUGUUGUUGUAUAGAGUAUUUCUAUGUGGCAUAAAGAGUGAUUUUCUUGAGCACAUGUGUAGUAUACCGGUUUCAUAAUAGAAAGAAAGAAAAGAAAUUGAGUAUAAGUUUGAUUUUUAUUUUUUAAAUUUCAGACAACUGAGGAAAUGAGCUUUCCUUCAUGUAGAUCUUAGUUAAAGAUGGUUUCCUUGGAGUGUAUGGGUGGUGAGGUGGUUUAUAGGUUUCUUGAUAGGUCUGAAUUGGGUUACUUUGAUGGUAAGUUUGGGUUUUCAUGAGUUUGGGAGGAAAGAUCAAAGGAAUUUUUUUUUCACUGUUGUCUUUACUGGGUUCUGAUAAAAAAAUCGGUCUUUACAUGGUUGUCAUGGGAAUGAUAAAGAAAAGGUGUGCAGAAGUAGCGUAUUAUCUUUGUUUUGUCAUCGGAAUGAUAGAACUUCCAAUUUUUUGUGAACUUUAGGGGAAUUAAGCUUUUGCUUAGGCAGAUAUUGAUCAAAGAUGGAGUCUGUGGAGUAAAUAGUAAUAUAUUGUAAGUAAAGAAGAAAAAGUAUGAAUGUUUUCCGACAGCCGGGGUCAUGCUUUUCAGGAUGGUUUUUGAUCAGCUUUCCGGAUUUUUUGGCAGUGUGGGAAAAAAGUUAAAACUUAUUAGCUCCUCUUAGAACUUCCGUUAGUUUUAGAGUUGAAGAUCAAAUCUGUCACCUUUUUGCAUACAUCAAGGACUAUACCGAUCACCAGGAAUAUAUCAAGGACCAAUAUAAAGCAACCCCAAUAUAAUACGGACUAUUUUGGUCAUUUCUUCCGUAACCAACCAUUUUUGUCCAAUAAAUUACAUAUCCGACGAUCAAAGUUACUGUUUUCACCUCAUACAUUCAACUCUGCUCUGGCGAACAUUUUUGCUUCUCAAAGCUCGCCUCCGACCACUUUCCUCCUGAAACCGGUUUGCUUCUUCUCUUAAUCUGUUCUAUUUCC